rnacentral:lncRNA from 1 species
AGCUCUGCUAAUGUGGGACGGGGGAGAACCACAGCCUAUGCAGUCAUUUUGGUUCCCUCUCGCUGAGGAGGAACUCAUGUACUGCUGCACAGAGUGUGGAAUCAGAGGCAUAGAGAGCCUAGGACUCAAGCUGUCCUGAAAGAACUCUCCACAAGGCUUUUGAUGGACAAUGGGCACCACCUGACAGGGCCUCAGCGCUGCAACAAAAGCACGGAGCUCGGAUUCAACAAGAGACAGUAUCUACCAAGCAUCAAGCGCUGUGGAAACAGAUUAAGAAGGUUUCAACUCUCCAGGUAUCCAGUCACUUGAUAUCAAUAAUAUCUCCCUGCCUGAACACUCACACAGACAUGCUGAAGGAAAAACUCCAUGUUUUCCAAAAGGCUUAGAGAUUAUACAUCAGGGCCCGGAUCCAGUGCUUAGACACCUGAGGAAAACAGCUGGUCACCCGAGUAACCAUAGACUUCUCUCCCGGAUCAGGGACUAACAUUCAUCAAGGAAAGCUGACAACGUUCUGAACCACCCUCAUGUAAGCUGUUGUAAGGAUUCCCAAGAAAUCUCUCCUUCCUCUUCUGUCUCCCACCCUUUGUACAGAUUUAAACUCAGAAUCUGAAAACUGUCUAAAUAAGGAUUCUCACACUUUCUCCA